rnacentral:rRNA from 1 species
ACGUAGGGGGCAAGCGUUAUCCGGAAUUAUUGGGCGUAAAGAGUGCGUAGGUGGUUAUGUAAGCGUGAGGUUUAAGGCAGUGGCUUAACCACUGUUCGCCUUGCGAACUGCGUAACUUGAGUGCAGGAGGGGAAAGCGGAAUUCCUAGUGUAGCGGUGAAAUGCGUAGAUAUUAGGAGGAACACCAGCGGCGAAGGCGGCUUUCUGGACUGCAACUGACACUGAGGCACGAAAGCGUGGGGAGCAAACAG